CGAUGUCUACUAGUUGUCGGGUCUUAAUUGACUUGGUAACGCAGCUAACGCGUGAAGUAGACCGCCUGGGGAGUACGGUCGCAAGAUUAAAACUCAAAGGAAUUGACGGGGACCCGCACAAGCGGUGGAUGAUGUGGAUUAAUUCGAUGCAACGCGAAAAACCUUACCUACCCUUGACAUGGCAGGAAUUCCGAAGAGAUUUGGAAGUGCUCGCAAGAGAACCUGCACACAGGUGCUGCAUGGCUGUCGUCAGCUCGUGUCGUGAGAUGUUGGGUUAAGUCCCGCAACGAGCGCAACCCUUGUCAUUAGUUGCUACGAAAGGGCACUCUAAUGAGACUGCCGGUGACAAACCGGAGGAAGGUGGGGAUGACGUCAAGUCCUCAUGGCCCUUAUGGGUAGGGCUUCACACGUCAUACAAUGGUACAUACAGAGGGCCGCCAACCCGCGAGGGGGAGCUAAUCCCAGAAAGUGUAUCGUAGUCCGGAUUGUAGUCUGCAACUCGACUACAUGAAGUUGGAAUCGCUAGUAAUCGCGGAUCAGCAUGUCGCGGUGAAUACGUUCCCGGGUCUUGUACACACCGCCCGUCACACCAUGGGAGCGGGUUCUGCCAGAAGUAGGUAGCUUAACCGUAAGGAGGGCGCUUACCACGGCAGGGUUCGUGACUGGGGUGAAGUCGUAACAAGGUAGCCGUAUCGGAAGGUGCGGCUGGAUCACCUCCUUUCUG
rnacentral:rRNA from 1 species